GAUCAGAAUGAACAGACUCUCCUGAGUGGUGCCUGAACCCAGACAUGUACAUUGAAUGGAUGGUAAAUGUGCCGUCCUGACAUCCCGCCAAUCCAUCUUCACUGACUGCAUCUGGGGCUUUUCUUCUCCUGACUUCAACGCAAGAACUCAGACACAUGGUCAGAGACUCAUACCAGUGAUGAUAUCGGAGGUGGGAAGGUCAGAGACUCAUCCCAAUGACAUUAUUGGAGGCACUGUGACCCAGGCAACUCUUAUAAGGACAACAUAUGAUUAGGCCUGGCUUACAGGGUUCCACCAUUGAGUGACUGCUGCAGGCAGGACCCGGCUGAGAUCUCAAAGGAAACUGAGGGCCAUUUCUCCUGACUGAAGUUUGCCAACAGCCUUUUGGAACUGAGAUUUUAUUGGCUUCAAUGGAAACAUGUCACCAUUUGCCAGACUCUCUGGUGGACUUAGAAUUCAAGGCGCUGGAAGCAAGACAGCAGGUCCUGACUGCCCACACCCCU
rnacentral:lncRNA from 1 species